rnacentral:lncRNA from 1 species
UUUUUUUUUUUUUAGUAUUAGGGCCUGAAGAAAAUUCAUUUGUUUAUUGGGAGCAGAAGAUAACACGAAUUCAAGUCCCCUGGAGCCAGUUAAUGAUCUCUGGGUGAGUAAUUCUCACCCCAGUGGGACAGUGCCUCUUCAUUCCACACAGGAUGUACAUUCUGUCUAAUGCCUGCAGGGCUGUUCAGAUCCAGCUGAUUAAUUAUUCUGAGAAACUCAAGUUGCCUUCCAAUAUUUGGUGGAGAAAAUGCCAUGUACAGCCUUGCAAGUUGCACUGUUAUAUUUUAUAUUUUUUCUCUUGGCAGCAAGCUGGACAAGUCGAUUUCUAAAAGAAUAACUGACUUUGCAGUCAUCUGCAGUCCCCCUAUUACCUUAACCAAACUAGUGAUCAACAUCUAAAAGACCUUAGGACUGCCCCAUUCUGAAAAAAGAAAGUGGGAACUCUCUGGUUCCGCCUAAUGCAGGCUAGAAAAACUUCUGAAAUGUUCAAUACUUCCCUGGGAUUUUUCCAUCUGCAUGGAGUUUGUAGCUUCUGUAGAAUCUUAUGUCUGUUUCUGGAAACUCUUAACACAAGGCCACAAUACUGACAAUGCCCUUUAGAUACUAUUUACUGCCUUUUUAAUGGUCUAAACACUGUUACAAGCAGAAAGCAGUUUACUGAGGAAGCACUGGAAAUUAGCAUCCUAGAGGCUGAAUUUUGAUCCCUGAUAUGAAGCAGUAUUAGCUUGUUACUCACAAAUCAGUAAUUAUGCCCAACCAUUGCCAACACUUAGCCUUUGUGACAUAUAUGCUGAAGUUCUUGCUACAAAGUUCAGGACAUUAUUGUUUCGUUUUCUGAAAAGUUGUUGUUAAAUAAAGCUGCAAAUAUUGAUUUAGGACAUGGUCAGGGAGGGUUAGUUCAUUGCAAAGCACAGACAGAAGGAAAUCCAGCAGACUUGUAAGAAACCUUUCCAGCACAGGAAACAGCUGGACUGCUAGGCAUUUGCCUAUUUUAUCCAUGCAUAAACCACAUCACUUUCUGGAAGCUUUGGAUCACAGAGCCUCCUCCCAGCUAUAGAAAUAAUUAUCUGACUACUCAUAGCUAGGAUGGCUUCACAUUUCCCAUUUACCUGAUGAGGUUUCUAGUGUUUUCUUGGAAGGACCGAGAAUCUAACCAGAAAAAAAAGAAAUAAAACAACCAACCCCAAAACUCCAACACCAAAGAAACUUUAGACAAUAAUAAAUUUCUGGGAUUGUUCCUUCCUAGUUGUGGGAAUGUUUAAAUUACAGUGGCAACUGGGGAUAUUGCCUGCAGAUUUCAUAGAGGUACCUUAAGAGGAACAUGACCUUGUGGUCCUGGUUGUAAAACAAACGACCUACCUGAAAGUUCAACCCAGUGUUGAACUGCAUUGGUUUAUGACACAAGGCUUGUGCUCUGCAGCAUCUGCAGCCUCCUUCUGUGAAGCAUCUCCUAUACCAAAAUAGCUGAGAGAGAAUCCCAGCUUUGUGGAGAAGUGAGAUUUUAAAAAAAAGAAACAUUUUCUUACCAUGACUCUACAUACUUUGAAGCAGGUGUCCUCAAAUUUGCCUGGCUCACACCUGGGCUAAAUGCCUGAGGGUAGGUGACAGAACCCUUGCAGUCUUCACAAGGGUUCUGCUGUGCUCCCACUGAAGAUAACUCUGAUUUUAGCCAUAACUGAAUGUAAUGUCUCACUUCUAUCCUGUCUCAGAAGUUAUCCUCCCUCUCUCCCCAGAUAAUCUCUAGGCAACCAAGUGCUUUAUUAAAAUAAUAGCUGUACUACUCUCAAGAAGCUGCCUUUGGAUCGCUCUGCUUUAAAGGGUUAACUUGCCCUUUCAUUUCCUCACAGACCUUUUCCAAAGCAAAGGAGAAAUCUCUAUGCUAGAGCAGUACAACUCGACUACCAAUGGUAGUAUUUUAAUUCCACACCCAAGAAAAUGUCCCUGGAUGCCAAUACUCAUGUGUAAAAUAAAUUUCUAUACUCUGGAU